GAUGGACGCUGGCGGCGUGCCUAAUACAUGCAAGUCGAGCGAACGGACGAGAAGCUUGCUUCUCUGAUGUUAGCGGCGGACGGGUGAGUAACACGUGGAUAACCUACCUAUAAGACUGGGAUAACUUCGGGAAACCGGAGCUAAUACCGGAUGAUAUUUUGAACCGCAUGGUUCAAAAGUGAAAGACGGUCUUGCUGUCACUUAUAGAUGGAUCCGCGCUGCAUUAGCUAGUUGGUAAGGUAACGGCUUACCAAGGCAACGAUGCAUAGCCGACCUGAGAGGGUGAUCGGCCACACUGGAACUGAGACACGGUCCAGACUCCUACGGGAGGCAGCAGUAGGAAAUCUUCCGCAAUGGGCGAAAGCCUGACGGAGCAACGCCGCGUGAGUGAUGAAGGUCUUCGGAUCGUAAAACUCUGUUAUUAGGGAAGAACAUAUGUGUAAGUAACUGUGCACAUCUUGACGGUACCUAAUCAGAAAGCCACGGCUAACUACGUG
rnacentral:rRNA from 1 species